GGCUGCUGCUAGUUAGCUGAAUUGUGGUUAUCAUAUCGGGAAUCGACUGAAGACUGAUAUCAAAGAUGAAGGCAGCCCUCUGGAAGAUGAGACCUACAUUCAAUUGAAUCAGAGAAACCUAUAAUAAAAUAUUUACUGAAGGUGAAUAACGGAAUUCUCCUAACUCCACUGAAGAUACUACGAAGUCCUUAUCUUGGCUGUCCACAGAGAACAAUGCUCGUGCGUGAGUACUAUGGUGUAACUUCGUGAAGUUGCAGACACUGAACUAAAGCCUGAUGAAUCUUCCUUAACUGCGGAAAAUCUCUUCUGCCUCUGUCAGGGGAGAUGUGUAACAUGAGAUGUAACCUGAAUAAAAACCAGCAAGAUUCAAAUAAGAGGUCAAAGUGUGACCCAGGAGGAGGUGUGCUUCAUGUCAAGAGAACUGCAUGUUUUCAUUGAUUAUUUUCAAAGAUAUUAGGGAACAUGAAUGAAUGUUGGAUAAUGAUCAAAGACACAUAAAAUUGGAUGAUGUGAAUUUUGAUAUUGCUCAAAUAAAGAGAUUCAAUUUUUUUAACUUUGAGGAAAUAUUAAAGGCUCUAACAGUUUAUCCAGUUGUCUGAAAUAUGAACUUAAAGAUGGUUUGCAUAUUGAAACACCAUAGUGCUUUGACAUACUGUGGAGUAACAAACACAAUGCCUGAAGUGAUUAAAUGUUAGGAUGCAUUUAUAAGUGAAGACCUAUAACAGUCACAUCAAAAGAGUAAAGAGAUACUUAUGAUACUGACUGUGUGAAAAUUAAUUUGUGCAGAAACCCCAGCAUCCUUGAAUUACUCAAAAGUCAUCUGCAGGGAAAUCCCACACACUAUGAUCAGCCUUCUCUGUUCAAGACAUUACAAUUGGAUAUGCAUAAAUUCAAUGAAGAUAAUGGGAUUCCAGGAUGCUGGGAGGCAAGUAGAGUGCUCAAUCACUAGUUACAAGGCUGCUGUUAAGACUCUAAUGGAUGAGACAGGCAAAGAAGCAAUAAAAAUGUUCUGACUCACAAAGGCCUGAUGUACUGGCUAGUUGAUUAUAGUGUCCCUAAAAAAGAAACAAAUGAGCAGUCUGUUACAUUUUUAACUUUUCAAGUCUAUCACUGCAGAGAAACAUUUAGAACAUUGGGCCCUUUUCCCCCAAAAUAUCCCUUUUCUCUUGCCAAGACUUGCUCAUUUAAGGGCACAUUCUCAACAGAGAGAAUGUCAAGUUACCUGUUAUAAUAAGGAUUCAGGGAAGCUGGCAAACUGUAAGAGCUGCCUUCCUGCCUGUAUAUUAAUCUAGUUAUUCCUCAAAAUGCUGGUCAUGCAAUGGAACAAAUAUUCUCACUGUUACGUACUUUAUUCUGUAAAACUCUCCUGCUUUGAAGUAGACUGUGGAGUGAGCAAUUCAUGUAAUUGUUGGAUGAUGCUGUUGUCGGAUAUCUGUCUCUGGUGAAUUUUUCCUUGUGGUGUUGUUGUUCUAUACACACCACCUAUGAUGCUUAAUUGGGUGCUGUUGCCCUGCAUACAGUAGAUUGGAUACUUGCAUACUUCUUGUGGGAGACCUGUCUUACUUUGAAGUUGCAAUUAACCCUUGGCUUUUUUGUUGGUGCCUGUUAUUAAGUCUUGAAAAUCUAAUUUCUCACAACUCAUCUUCAAAUAUUUCAUCAGCUAUGACCACGAAAAUUGGAAUGAAAUUUUUAUAAAGUCUUAAUUAAAAUCACCAAAUCAAGGAGUUAUGUAUACUUAAUGAUUUCUUAAAACUGAUCGUGUUUGUAGACUCAGAACUCGAUGAAUGAAGUAAAUACCAGAAUUAUUAGUGGAAGAAUCCUGAUACAUUGUCAAAAACAUAUACUAUUAUUUUACCCAGAAUUAUCCACA